rnacentral:rRNA from 1 species
AGAGUUUGAUCAUGGCUCAGAUUGAACGCUGGCGGCAGGCCUAACACAUGCAAGUCGAACGGUAACAGGAAGCAGCUUGCUGCUUUGCUGACGAGUGGCGGACGGGUGAGUAAUGUCUGGGAAACUGCCUGAUGGAGGGGGAUAACUACUGGAAACGGUGGCUAAUACCGCAUAACGUCGCAAGACCAAAGAGGGGGACCUUCGGGCCUCUUGCCAUCAGAUGUGCCCAGAUGGGAUUAGCUUGUUGGUGAGGUAACGGCUCACCAAGGCGACGAUCCCUAGCUGGUCUGAGAGGAUGACCAGCCACACUGGAACUGAGACACGGUCCAGACUCCUACGGGAGGCAGCAGUGGGGAAUAUUGCACAAUGGGCGCAAGCCUGAUGCAGCCAUGCCGCGUGUAUGAAGAAGGCCUUCGGGUUGUAAAGUACUUUCAGCGGGGAGGAAGGUGUUGUGGUUAAUAACCGCAGCAAUUGACGUUACCCGCAGAAGAAGCACCGGCUAACUCCGUGCCAGCAGCCGCGGUAAUACGGAGGGUGCAAGCGUUAAUCGGAAUUACUGGGCGUAAAGCGCACGCAGGCGGUCUGUCAAGUCGGAUGUGAAAUCCCCGGGCUCAACCUGGGAACUGCAUUCGAAACUGGCAGGCUUGAGUCUUGUAGAGGGGGGUAGAAUUCCAGGUGUAGCGGUGAAAUGCGUAGAGAUCUGGAGGAAUACCGGUGGCGAAGGCGGCCCCCUGGACAAAGACUGACGCUCAGGUGCGAAAGCGUGGGGAGCAAACAGGAUUAGAUACCCUGGUAGUCCACGCCGUAAACGAUGUCUACUUGGAGGUUGUGCCCUUGAGGCGUGGCUUCCGGAGCUAACGCGUUAAGUAGACCGCCUGGGGAGUACGGCCGCAAGGUUAAAACUCAAAUGAAUUGACGGGGGCCCGCACAAGCGGUGGAGCAUGUGGUUUAAUUCGAUGCAACGCGAAGAACCUUACCUGGUCUUGACAUCCACGGAAGUUUUCAGAGAUGGAAUGUGCCUUCGGGAACCGUGAGACAGGUGCUGCAUGGCUGUCGUCAGCUCGUGUUGUGAAAUGUUGGGUUAAGUCCCGCAACGAGCGCAACCCUUAUCCUUUGUUGCCAGCGAUUCGGUCGGGAACUCAAAGGAGACUGCCAGUGAUAAACUGGAGGAAGGUGGGGAUGACGUCAAGUCAUCAUGGCCCUUACGACCAGGGCUACACACGUGCUACAAUGGCGCAUACAAAGAGAAGCGACCUCGCGAGAGCAAGCGGACCUCAUAAAGUGCGUCGUAGUCCGGAUUGGAGUCUGCAACUCGACUCCAUGAAGUCGGAAUCGCUAGUAAUCGUGGAUCAGAAUGCCACGGUGAAUACGUUCCCGGGCCUUGUACACACCGCCCGUCACACCAUGGGAGUGGGUUGCAAAAGAAGUAGGUAGCUUAACCUUCGGGAGGGCGCUUACCACUUUGUGAUUCAUGACUGGGGUGAAGUCGUAACAAGGUAACCGUAGGGGAACCUGCGGUUG